CAUUGUUGGAUCGGGUUUCGCGGUUAGCGUACUUUUUAACAAUAGUUAAGUUCGUUGUCGACGAAACCUGCAUACAAUU
rnacentral:pre_miRNA from 1 species